rnacentral:rRNA from 1 species
AUUGAACGCUGGCGGCAUGCCUUACACAUGUAAGUCGAACGGCAGCACGGGUGCUUGCACCUGGUGGCGAGUGGCGAACGGGUGAGUAAUACAUCGGAACAUGUCCUGUAGUGGGGGAUAGCCCGGCGAAAGCCGGAUUAAUACCGCAUACGAUCUACGGAUGAAAGCGGGGGACCUUGGGGCCUCGCGCUAUAGGGUUGGCCGAUGGCUGAUUAGCUAGUUGGUGGGGUAAAGGCCUACCAAGGCGACGAUCAGUAGCUGGUCUGAGAGGACGACCAGCCACACUGGGACUGAGACACGGCCCAGACUCCUACGGGAGGCAGCAGUGGGGAAUUUUGGACAAUGGGCGAAAGCCUGAUCCAGCAAUGCCGCGUGUGUGAAGAAGGCCUUCGGGUUGUAAAGCACUUUUGUCCGGAAAGAAAUCCUUGGCCCUAAUACGGUCGGGGGAUGACGGUACCGGAAGAAUAAGCACCGGCUAACUACGUG